rnacentral:rRNA from 1 species
AAUGGAGGAAACUCUGAUGCAGCAACGCCGCGUGGAGGAUGACGCAUUUCGGUGUGUAAACUCCUUUUAAGAGGGAAGAUUAUGACGGUACCUCUUGAAUAAGCACCGGCUAACUCCGUGCCAGCAGCCGCGGUAAUACGGAGGGUGCAAGCGUUACUCGGAAUCACUGGGCGUAAAGGGCGCGUAGGCUGGCUUUUAAGUCAGAUGUGAAAUCCAAUGGCUUAACCAUUGAACUGCAUUUGAAACUGAAAGCCUAGAGUUCGGAAGGGGCAGAUGGAAUUAGUGGUGUAGGGGUAAAAUCCGUAGAUAUCACUAGGAAUAUCAAAAGCGAAGGCGAUCUGCUGGGACGAUACUGACGCUGAGGCGCGAAAGCGUGGGGAGCAAA